rnacentral:sRNA from 1 species
AGAGGGUCCUCCGCGGAAGGGCAGCUGAAUGGACUCCAAAGCAGCCUUAACCCUGCAGCCUUUGUGCCCAUCACCAGCUCUACAGAAUGUUGCCAGAAGAUACUACCAGGGCUGCCCAGAUCAGUUGGAAAGGCCUUAGGGACAAAUCUUUAAGAGAUCCUGCUCACACUAAAAUAUGAACCACAAACACACAGAGAAACAACCUGUUCACCACUCCUGGGUGCAUGAUUGAGGGUGAAGCAUCCACCAGCACUUCAAGGGGUCCAUAGUAUUUUUUUUUUUUUGCUGCCUCAAAGUCCCCAAAGCCUUCGAGCAGAAGUGGCAGUAGAUGGUUGCUAAUCAGCCAAUGCAGACUUUCACUGGGACAACAGGAAAGCAGAUCUUCUGGGUUUUGAUGGAACUUGGCAGUGGGGACAUUCAGCUGAUGCAUUAUAUACCCCGUCAGAGCACACUUGUAUCUUUUACCUUCCCUUUGCCCCAUGCCCCCAAACUGCUUAAGUCUUCUCUGUCCCUUUACUGCUGCUGCACAGAGAUGAUAUAAAAGAGGCUCUUUGGCUA